rnacentral:rRNA from 1 species
AUGGCUAGCCCUAGCCUUUUAGUCCUGUCCAUGAUCCUAAUCCUGCAUUCCAUUCUAUCCAUGGCAUCUGCAUCCCUAUCCUGUGUUCUUCAGUGUGAGUCCGAGGUUAACAUGCGCUUGUACUUGCACCAAAUCGCCGCCGGACCAGGCAUCAACCAGGUAGCAAUUGUUACCUCCAGCAAACCAUCAGAGUUUGGUCUAACUGCAGUUACCGACUGGACUGUGAUUGAUGGACCAAACCCCGCUACUGCCACCAUUGUUGCCCGUACCAAAGGCAUGCAAGUGCAGGCUGAUGUAGCCGGUCCAGGCUGGUUCAACUACUUCAGCAUGGUGUUCGAGAAGAACUCUAGGUACAAUGGAUCAUCAUUCGAAGCGAUGGGGAUCAAUUUUCAAACAGGCCAAGGCCAGAUGGCCAUUAUGGGUGGGACUGGAGAGUUUGCUAUGGCACGUGGGAUCAUCAAGUAUUACGCACUCACCAACCCCCCUACGUUCCAAACUAUUAAAGAACUCAAUAUCCAUGCAUUCUACGUCAAAGCUUCUGACACUACAUCUGGCGCCACCAUCCAAUAA